GAAACUCGAAUUUUUCUAAAGAUAUUUUUCAAAGCAAGAAGACUGACAAAAUCUAAAGUGGACAGGAUAGGAUCCAAUUUGUUUCAAGAAAAAACUGUUCAAGAUCAAUCAUUUGUUCAAUUCACAUUCAAUUGCCACUCUAGAAACAAGGAAACUGAACAACCUAAAGAUGUCGCAUAUCUUCAAAUCACGUUAUCCAUUCAAAGCUAUUAUUCACACGCUUUAAACGACGUCUAAAGUGCAGUGACAUCUUUUUUCGACUGUCACGCCUUUAUCACGUUCAGUUUUGCGCGGCCACUCGUAUCGAUCUGACAGUAACAUAAAAGCCGUGACAGAAUGCCAUCACCGACCGUCUUCGCGGAAUCCUAAGAAACUUAGUUAGUCAGGAACCCUCUGCGUUGCGUAUCGGGAGUCAGCAGCCCGUGGCUGGAUGACAAAUCGUUGGUUGGCCGAGCUGACAGCUAACAUCCAUUGGCCGUUUUACAACUUGAUAAAUCGUAACACGGAGGAUCUUCUCAUAUUUUAACAUUAUAACAGAUCGUGUACGCGCUAAGAGCCCAUUUUUUAAAAUUACUUCUUUAUUUAAGGAUCUUUAUUUUUUUGAUCUUGUUCUCAAAUCAUUGAAACCGAUAGGAAAUAA